AGCGGAGGAAAAGAAACUAACAAGGAUUCCCCUAGUAACUGCGAGUGAAGCGGGAAAAGCUCAAAUUUAAAAUCUGGCAGUCUUUGGCUGUCCGAGUUGUAGUCUGGAGAAGUGUUUUCCGCGCUGGACCGUGUACAAGUCUCCUGGAACGGAGCGUCAUAGAGGGUGAGAAUCCCGUCUUUGACACGGACUACCAGUGCUUUGUGAUGCGCUCUCAAAGAGUCGAGUUGUUUGGGAAUGCAGCUCAAAAUGGGUGGUAAACUCCAUCUAAAGCUAAAUAUUGGCGAGAGACCGAUAGCGAACAAGUACCGUGAGGGAAAGAUGAAAAGCACUUUGGAAAGAGAGUUAAACAGUACGUGAAAUUGCUGAAAGGGAAACGCUUGAAGUCAGUCGCGUUUGCUAGGACUCAGCCUUGCAUUAGCUAAGGUGCACUUCCUAGUAGACGGGCCAGCAUCACUUUUGGCUGCGGGAAAAAGGUCAGAGGAAUGUGGCACCUCCGGGUGUGUUAUAGCCUCUGGCUGUAUACCGUGGCUGGGAGUGAGGAACUCAGCACGCCUUUAUGGCGGGGCUUCGGCCACCUUCGUGCUUAGGAUGCUGGCGUAAUGGCUUUAAACGACCCGUCUUGAAACACGGACCAAGGAGUCUAACAUGCCUGCGAGUGUUUGGGUGGUAAACCCGAGCGCGUAAUGAAAGUGAAAGUUGGGACCUCUGUCGUGGAGGGCACCGACGCCCGGACCAGACCUUCUGUGACGGAUCCGCGGUAGAGCAUGUAUGUUGGGACCCGAAAGAUGGUGAACUAUGCCUGAAUAGGGUGAAGCCAGAGGAAACUCUGGUGGAGGCUCGUAGCGAUUCUGACGUGCAAAUCGAUCGUCAAAUUUGGGUAUAGGGGCGAAAGACUAAUCGAACCAUCUAGUAGCUGGU
rnacentral:rRNA from 2 species